UGGGUAGUCCGCACGAGCGCACCUUGUCAUUAGUUGCUACAUUUAGUUGGGCACUCUAAUGAGACUGCCGGUGACAAACCGGAGGAAGGUGGGGAUGACGUCAAGUCCUCAUGGCCCUUAUAGGUGGGGCUACACACGUCAUACAAUGGCUGGUACAAAGGGUUGCCAACCCGCGAGGGGGAGCUAAUCCCAUAAAACCAGUCGUAGUCCGGAUCGCAGUCUGCAACUCGACUGCGUGAAGUCGGAAUCGCUAGUAAUCGUGGAUCAGAAUGUCACGGUGAAUACGUUCCCGGGUCUUGUACACACCGCCCGUCACACCAUGGGAGCGGGUUCUGCCAGAAGUAGUUAGCUUAACCGCAAGGAGGGCGAUUACCACGGCAGGGUUCGUGACUGGGGUGAAGUCGUAACAAGGUAGCCGUAUCGGAAGGUGCGGCUGGAUCACCUCCUUUCU
rnacentral:rRNA from 1 species